GGCUCAGUAACACGUGGAUAAUCUGCCCUUGGGUGGGGCACAGCCUCGGGAAACUGAGGGUCAUGCCCCAUAGGCCAGGAAUGCUGGAACGCUUCCUGACUUAAAGUUCCGACGCCCAAGGAUGAGUCUGCGGCCUAUCAGGUAGUAGUGGGUGUAACGUACCCACUCGCCGGUGACGGGUACGGGUCGUGAGAGCGAUCGCCCGGAGAUGGAUUCUGAGACAUGAAUCCAGGCCCUACGGGGCGCAGCAAGCGCGAAAACUUCGCAAUGUGGGCAACCACGACGAGGGAACUCCAAGUGCCAGCACCAUUGUGUUGGCUUUUCUUAUACCUAAAAAGUAUAAGGAAUAAGGGCUGGGUAAGACGGGUGCCAGCCGCCGCGGUAAUACCCGCAGCCCAAGUGGUGGUCGUUAUUAUUGGGCCUAAAACGUCCGUAGCCGGUUCAAUAAAUCUCUGGGUAAAUCGGGUGGCCUAACCAUUCGAAUUCCGGAGAGACUGUUGAACUUGGGAUCGGGAGAGGGUCGAGGUACUUCCGGGGGAGGGGUGAAAUCCUUUAAUCCUGGAAGGACCAUCAGUGGCGAAGGCGUCGACCUAGAACGACUCCGACGGUAAGGGACGAAGCCCUGGGGCGCAAACGGGAUUAGAUACCCCGGUAGUCCAGGGUGUAAACGCUGUGGGCUUGGUGUUGGCUGUCCUACGAGGGCAUUCAGUGCCGAAGAGAAGUUGUUAAGCCUACUGCCUGGGGAGUACGCUCGCAAGAGUGAAACUCAAAGGAAUUGACGG
rnacentral:rRNA from 1 species